AACUUGAGGUGAAAUUGCAUAGCACGAUAAUAAUAAUAUUCAGUCAGCUGUAUUCGUCCGGUUCAGACCGAAAGUCAGAAUUUAAAAAACAAUAAACAACUACGGGCGGGAAGCAGAGUGCAAUCAACGGUAUGGAAAAUACCUUACAAUUUAGAACUUAGAAGUCAGACGUGUCAACCAUGACGUAAUAAUUCAGUAUAUAAUUCAGUAGCCGCUGCCGCCAGCACAGAACGGAUGAAUUUCAUAUACGAAUUUCAUAUACGUAUAUACCUACCUCGUCGACGCGGUCGGUAUUGUUAACCGUUGCUAGGAUGAUUUGAAUAAGUAGCACACGACUGUCAAGCCGCUGGAAUGUAGCGGAAGAGUGAUAAAUAAAUCCAUUUCAUAACAAAGGAACAAACAUCAAUGUCAAUUCGAUGAUAACACACUCCUGUACUACAUAAUAUAUUAUAGAAGUCUGUGGAUGAUGAACAGCCGGUAGGCUAUAACGUCAAUAACGAUAUCGCGUCCAAUCGAUCAUUAUUCACUAUUCAGUACUAUAAUAUAAUAAUAUUAUAUAAUAUUAUUGUCCUCCCAUCGAUAAUGUUUAUUUUAUUUUAUGUUAUUGUUAUUAAAUAUUGAAACAAUAAAUUAAUUAACUCCGAAGUUUGGGAUUUUAAUGCAGUGCACAAUAAUACAAUAAGUCCAAAGUAAAUCUUAUGAUCAAUUAAAGGACCAGGUCUAAAGCUCAGCGUGAUAGCUCUAACAAUGAUUUUGACGAUGGUGACUCACUUUCAUCCACGAAUGCCGUGCCUUCAUCUAAAAAAAUAUAAGUAGCAUCAUUCAUUGAUUUAACAUCAUACUUAAUUUAUAAUAAUAUACACAAUUAUACUCAAUGCACGUUAAGAUCUUAAUGAGUACCUUUAAAGUUUUUUAAUUUAGCCUAAGUGAAUUCAACUAUUUUAGACGUGUUCUUUGCCAAACAUACCAUUUUAUUGGUCUAAUGAAGCUAUAAGAAUUCUGAAAACAGAUUUGAAUUUGUGGUUAAGUCUACUUGAAAUGUACUUUCCCAUAAUUUCAAUAUUAUAUCCCAAAUUCUUAAAAACAUUAUAUUAAAAAGGAGUAAUUAAAAAUUGUUAUAUUUCAAUUUUUGGAGAAGUUAAAAUCAAAAUUAUGGAAAGCCGAUUAAGUAAACUUGAAUUUAGAACUAGAAUUCCUAUCAUUUCCUCAGAUCAAUUAGUAUGUUUGAUGAAGAACACGUCUAAAAUCCUAUGUCGCACGUGUGUUAGACAAAGAUAGAGAAUCUCCUGGUGGAAUCCCCUUAAAUUUUGGUUUUUAUGUCCUAUUUUUUCUAGUUCCUUGAAUAUCAUUAUGAAUGUUUUCUACGCCUACAUUUACCCAUGAUGUUAACCUUGAUUUGAAAAGCACACAAUAGUAUUUAUUUUAUGUUUCCAAUUUCUGUAAGCUCUACUCUAUACAAUUGUCAAGACGUAUUUGAUAAAUUUAGGUUUACU